UCCACGCCCCCCCCCCCCCCCCCCCCCCCCGUCAAGCCUCCUGGCAUCAUUAUCCUCAUCGCUAAACCCUCAGAGUACAGGGCGGAAAACGGUGCACAC
ensembl:misc_RNA